rnacentral:lncRNA from 1 species
GCAACUGAAGCCAUUUCCCUGCUCUGAGACCUCGGACAAGUCACUCCCCGCCAGGGCUGCAGUUUCCUGUCUCUAAAAGGAGUUGAUGAGCAGCUCUAGCUUCAGGGAUGUUUCCCGGACCGAGUGUGGCUUCAGAGUCAGAGAGAUGUGAGUUCAAGACCACUUGCUUAGGAGGAAGCAAAAGAGGAGGAGAAGGCAGAGGAAGGCGACGACUGAGAACAAAAGAAGAGCAGUGGCAAAGGAGUGAGCUCCAUGGGUGGCUUUUGUGGACAAGAUGCGACCACCUCAUGAGGAUCAAGAUGUACUCCUUGCUCUUCUCUGCACAGCAGUCUCAAAACUAGGCUACACCGUCUGUCUCCUCUGGUCACCAUUUUGAGAGGCAGCAAGGGUCUUCCUAACCCUCAGCUCCCUCUGAUUUUUGGAAUUCAGAUUUGGAUUUUGGAUGUACAUCAAGAGGCUGGCUCCACGCAUUUUAAUUAAGUUGUCUUUUUUCAUUUAUUACGGAUGUAGGGGCUGGGGCCGCUGUCACGACCUCAAAACCA